UACGUAGGGUGCAAGCGUUGUCCGGAAUUAUUGGGCGUAAAGAGCUCGUAGGCGGUUUGUCGCGUCUGCUGUGAAAUCCCAGGGCUUAACCCUGGGCCUGCAGUGGGUACGGGCAAACUAGAGUGCGGUAGGGGAGAUCGGAAUUCCUGGUGUAGCGGUGGAAUGCGCAGAUAUCAGGAGGAACACCGGUGGCGAAGGCGGGAUCCUGGGCCAGUACUGACGCUGAGGAGCGAAAGCGUGGGGAGCAAACAGG
rnacentral:rRNA from 1 species